rnacentral:lncRNA from 1 species
AUCAAACAAAUAAUAAUAUCCAUAAAGAAAAAAUUUUAACCCAUGAGUGUAUAAGUUUUGUGCAUUUCAAGAGGUUAAAUAAGUUUCAAAAAAUAUUAGUAACAAGUUAAAAGAUUCCUAGAACAUUCAAAAAAAAUAACAAUUCAAAAUUAUCUCAAGUAAGGUCUAUUUCUUCAUCGUCUUCAUCAUCCACUUCUUGAUUUACUCCACCUACAAAAGAGGAUAACUGAAUUUAAGUGUAGUGGAUUCGUGAUGGGACUAACUUUCUGCCACAGUAUAUGUUAUUGAUUGGGAACUGCACACUAUCUAAAAGCAGUAGGGGAAUUCACUAGGGGUGUCCAAAAACUGAGCGCUACACCAGUGUGGUGCAGGGAAUUUCUUCUCCCAACUCCAUCAGCUAAAAAAGGAUGAAUUGCAAUCAAGAGACCAAGACAACUCUUCAAUGUCGCCACACUUUUCAUUAUUCAUAGUUACUUACUUUUCAUCAUUCAUAGUUACUGAAUUUUCAUGAUAUAUGAUAAACUUGUUAUUGAAAGUUUAAAACUUGAAAGUGAUAAUCAUAUGGAAGGAACGAAAAAGGAAUUUGCAACUUGCAAGAGGUAUUAAAACUUCUUUUUAGUACUAAAGUGUCUUCUAUUGACAUAAGGAAUUUGCACAGUUAUCUUGAAAGGAACAAAUAUGCAGUUGCAACAUUCUAGCAGUCUAUAUUAAAUUUAGUAUAAAGUGCCAGACAAGGAAAAACAUCAACCUAUUGAUAAGAAGGGGCUCACAAGAGAUGCUGAACUAUAAAAUCUUGUCAAUAGGUAUUGUCAAAGAUCAAUUUAGAGGUAAAUAAAUUAACAUACACUAAGCAAAUCAUAAACAAACCCAAGAACUUGAAAGUAUGCUUUGAACCACUCUACUAAAGUUUGCAUAAAUUCAAAAGAGAGAAUGGGACAGAUGAUCCAUGAAUUUAGCAACAAACUGAGAUUCAUUGCACAAGAAAUAAAUUUCAAAUGGUUGUAACUUCGAGUUCUGUGACACACUUAAUUAUGCUACUGAGUUGAAUUAUAGUGCUUAAGAAUCUAAAUUUUUCACCCAUUAUACAGUAUGAGAAGAUCCAACCACAAGAAGAGCCCCACUAAACAAGAUCACAUACAAUUACCAUUAUACAGAUAAAGCUAAUUCAGUAAAAGAAAAAACAGAAACAAUGAUUGUGUAUUUCCAAUCAAUAACAUUACAUCGCUCAAAUACCCUAAAAAUAAAAUUAAUAUCAAUUAAUCCACCAGUAAAGAAACUUAGGAUGAUAUCUAUUCCACAACUACCCAGCAGCAAAUUCUUCUUCAAUGAGGAAUGAAAUAGACGAAUUAGGGCUCAACUGUUGAGAAAUUGCAAAACCAGUAAAAGAAGAGCAUGCGAAAUAAUUCAGAAAUUUAUGAGAAUCGAGAAAAAACCUUGAAUUAGGGAUUUGUGGAACUUGAUAUGUUAGCUGACCUUAAUCGAUAAAAAAACCUAAACUUAUUGGAUGGUUUGAAUUGUUUGAAGCAGCUGGUUGUUUAUGGUGUGAAUUAGGGCUCAAUUGUUGAAAAUCAUUUGCUGAGAUUUGGUUCGUUCAACGGAGGUUGGUAGAGGGAAAGUUACCGGCGUGGGACUGUAACAGGCGUGGGUGUCACCGGCGGCGGAGAGCUUUGGCAGAGAGUUUUGGUUCGUCUUCUUGGCAGAGAGAAUGAGCGUGAGGUUUGAGAGAGGCUUAUAAUUUU